CUGACAACAUUACGGUUUCCGUUAGGGAGGGACAGAGAGAGAGAGAGAGCGAGAGAGAGAGAGAGAGAGAGAGAGAGAGAGAGAGAGGAAAAGAUGGGGCGGGGAAUUCCAGCUUUGUUCACUUCUCCUCUCUGGGAUGGUCGAGAGACUCGGUCUGGGAGGAGAAAAGUGAGAGAGGAGGAGGAGGAGGAAAGUGGAAUCAAGGUUUUCUCGUCUUGGUUUUUGUCAGCGUGUGUUUGGACAGAUUGAGGACUGGUAAGGAUUACGCAGAGCGACGGCUCCUCUCCUGACCUCAGCCGUCUGUUUGGAACUAGUUGUACCCCUGACUUGUCAUUGAAAUGUGUACAGACAUAAGAUGCAGCUACACAUCUCGCGGUCGCGGUUGGGACUUCUACUUAUCUUCGUUUACACCACAGGUCAGGAAGCCGUCUGGAAUUCCUCGGAGCGUCAAGGCCCCUGGAUGGGUGUGUCUUCAGUCCAACGCUCUGAAACCUUCGACGGCGACGGAACUGACCGGAACAUGUUAACUCUGGCGGGAGAGAGGGGUGAUGGGGGAGAGAGGGGAGAGAUGGGUAAUGGGGGAGAGAGGGGAGACAGGGUUGAUGGGGGAGAGAGGAGAGAGAUGGGAGAGAUGGGUGAUGGGGGAGAGAGGGGAGAGAUGGGAGAUGGGGGAGAGAGGGGAGAGAUGGGUAAUGGGGGAGAGAGGGGAGAGAUGGGUGAUGGGGGCAGUCUUCACCCAUCUGAAAGCUUUGUUGGGGAUUUAAAGUUGGACUGGAUCCCUGGUUCUACCCCCACCCUACAGGGGCUGUCCUCCCGGUCCUCUCCCCAGGCGGGGCUCACCGUGGCUGGGCGCGCCGAUAGGGAAGUCCCCCUGCUUCCUGAGGAAGAACCAGACAAUAGAAAGGAGAUGUCUGGACCUCGUCAGUCUGUUGACCACGUCACUACGGGUUACGACCCUGCUGGGAUGGACACACACACCGACACACACUCCUCACCCACACACUCACACACACACUCCUCACACACACACUCACCCACACACUCACCCACAGACCAACACACACACUCACACACACACCAACACACACACUCACACACACACUCACAAACACACUCACCCACAGACUCACCCACAGACUCACCCACAUACUCACCCACAGACUCACCCACAGACUCACCCACAGACUCACCCUCAGACACACCCACAGUCUCACCCACAGUCUCACCCACAGACUCACCCACAGACUCACCCACAGACUCACCCACAGUCUCACCCACAGACUCACCCACACACUCACCCACAGACCUACACACACACUCACACACACACCAACACACACACUCACACACACACUCACAAACACACUCACCCACAGACUCACCCACAGACUCACCCACAUACUCACCCACAGACUCACCCACAGACUCACCCACAGUCUCACCCACAGACUCACCCACAGACUCACCCACAGACUCACCCACAGUCUCACCCACAGACUCACCCACAGACUCACCCACAGACCAACACACACACUCACACACACACUCACCCACAGUCUCACCCACAGUCUCACCCACAGUCUCACCCACAGACUCACCCACAGACCAACACACCUACUCACCCACAGACUCACCCACAGUCUCACCCACAGUCUCACCCACCGACUCACCCACAGUCUCACCCACAGACUCACCCACAGACUCACCCACAGUCUCACCCACAGACCAACACACCUACUCACCCACAGUCUCACCCACAGUCUCACCCACAGUCUCACCCACAGACCAACACACCUCUCCCAGAGCCCUGCGUCUCCCGCUCUGUCUGACCUCCAGCCCUCUAGCAGGUCCAGGGGAGCCUGGCCGGACCCUAACCCCACAACGAUACACCCUGGCUGGGCUGACGGAGCGAGGCCGGUCCCCUGCGGGGAGGAGCACCAGGAGCGUCAGAGAAGGGCAGGGAGAGAGGGGACCUGGGAUGACCCCUGACCCUGAGGGGUUAAAGGUCACCUCUGAGGUCACCCUGAGUCAGACCAGCGGACCUGUGACUGAGGGGCUGCCUGAAUCAGACGUUACCGGUCGAACACCGGCAUCCUCUUCUCCGGAUCCAGACAGAAGUAAUCAAAGACAGACAACCCGGACAGAAAUGAACAGCGGAACAGAGUCGUUGUUCUCUUCAGAGACAGACAUUACUAAUGGAACAGAGUCGUUGUUCUCUUCAGAGACAGACAUUACUAAUGGAACAGAGUCGUUGUUCUCUUCAGAGACAGACAUUACUAAUGGAACAGAGUCGUUGUUCUCUUCAGAGACAGACAUUACUAAUGGAACAGAGUCGUUGUUCUCUUCAGAGACAGACAUUACUAAUGGAACAGAGUCGUUGUUCUCUUCAGAGACAGACAUUACUAAUGGAACAGAGUCGUUGUUCUCUUCAGAGACAGACAUUACUAGUGGAACACAGUCGUUGUUCUCUUCAGAGACAGACAUUACUAGUGGAACACAGUCGUUGUUCUCUUUAGAGACAGACAUUACUAGUGGAUCUCUAUCUCCCUCAAACACUCGAACAUCACAAAUCACUCUGACACCUCACAUCCUAACACACCUCACACACACUUCCUCAAACACCCUCCCUGACUCACCCCUCUCCUCCUCCCCCUCUCCUCUCCUCCCUGACUCACCCCUCUCCUCCUCCCCCUCUCCUCUCCUCUCUACCCUCCCUGACUCACCCCUCUCCUCCUCCUCCUCCUCCUCUCCUCUCCUCUCUACCCUCCCUGACUCACCUCUCUCCCCCUCCUCCUCCCCAUCUCCUCUCCUCCCUGACUCACCCCUCUCCCCCUCCCCCUCUCCUCUCCUCUCUACCCUCCCUGACUCACCCCUCUCCCCCUCCUCCUCCCCCUCUCCUCUCCUCCCUACCCUCCAUGACUCACCCCUCUCCCCCUCUCCUCUCCUCUCUACCCUCCCUGACUCACCCCUUUCCUCCUCCCCCUCUCCUCUCCUCCCUGACUCACCCCUCUCCUCCUCUCCUCUCCUCCCUACCCUCCCUGACUCACCCCUCUCCUCCUCCUCCUCCCCCUCUCCUCUCCUCCCUACCCUCCCUGACUCACCCCUCUCCUCCUCCUCCUCCUCCUCUCCUCUCCUCCCUGACUCACCCCUCCCCUCCUCCCCCUCUCCUCUCCUCCCUACCCUCCCUGACUCACCCCUCUCCUCCUCCUCCUCCCCCUCUCCUCUCCUCCCUACCCUCCCUACCCUCGCUGACUCACCCCUCUCCUCCUCCUCCCCCUCUCCUCUCCUCCCUACCCUCCCUGACUCACCCCUCUCCUCCUCUCCCUCUCCUCUCCUCCCUGACUCACCCCUCUCCCCCUCUCCUCUCCUCCCUACCCUCCCUGACUCACCCCUCUCCUCCUCUCCCUCUCCUCUACUCCCUACCCUUCCUGACUCACCCCUCUCCUCCUCUCCCUCUCCUCUACUCCCUGACUCACCCCUCUCCUCCUCCUCUUCCUCUCCUCUCCUCCCUACCCUCCUUGACUCCUCUCUCCCCUCCUCCCCCUCUCCUCUACUCCCUACCCUUCCUGACUCACCCCUCUCCUCCUCUCCCUCUCCUCUACUCCCUGACUCACCCCUCUCCCCCUCCCCUCUCCUCCCUACCCUCCCUGACUCACCCCUCUCCUCCUCCUCCCCCUCGCCUCUCCUCCCUACCCUCCCUGACUCACCCCUCUCCUCCUCCUCACCCCUCAGUCCUGACAGAGACAGAGACUACAACGGGACUACAAAUCCCUUCAUCUCCUCUCCAUUCACCACAGCAGAGCUGCCUCUGGGAGAUGUAGUCCAGGCCACCACAACCACAAAACAACCAUCCACAACCACGACACAACCAUCCACAACCACAAAACAACCAUUCUCUUCCACGCAGACAUCUCCCAGGUUCAGGACUACCAGACCCCCACCCUGGUCCACCCCUCACCCCAGCCAGGGCAGCCCAUCGGCGGGUAGAUCCUCUGGCCUGUCCCCCUCCUCUCCUCCCCACUCCACCAUCAGCCCCACACACAGACCCAGAGUUUACGUCCUGCCUGAUCGGCCCGCCGACAUCAAAGGUAGGAGACUGGAGUGUGUGUGUGUGUGUGUGUGUGUGUGUGUGUGUGUGUGUGUGUGUGUGUGUGUGUGUGUGUGUGUGUUCUAACAGUGUGUGUGUGUGUGUGUGUGUGUAUACUAACAGUGUGUGUGUGUGUGUGUGUGUGUGUGUGUGUGUGUGUGUAUACUAACAGUGUGUGUGUGUGUGUGUGUGUGUGUGUGUGGUGUGUGUGUGUGUGUGUGUGUGUGUGUGUGUAUACUAACAGUGUGUGUGUGUGUGUGUGUGUGUGUGUGUGUGUGUGUGUGUGUGUGUGUGUGUGUGUGUGUAUACUAACAGUGUGUGUGUGUGUGUGUGUGUGUAUAUACUAACAGUGUGUGUGUGUGUGUGUGUGUGUGUGUGUGUGUGUGUGUGUGUGUGUGUGUGUGUGUGUGUGUGUGUGUGUGUGUGUGUAUACUAACAGUGUGUGUGUGUGUGUGUGUGUGUGUGUGUGUGUGUGGUGUGUGUGUGUGUGUGUGUGUGUGUAUACUAACAGUGUGUGUGUGUGUGUGUGUAUACUAACAGUGUGUGUGUGUGUGUGUGUGUGUGUGUGUGUGUGUGUGUGUGUGUGUGUGUGUGUGUGUGUGUGUGUGUGGUGUGUGUGGUGUGUGUGUGUGUGUGUGUGUGUGUGUGUGUGUGUAUUACAGUUUUUCUCAGUCGCUUUGGUGCGUUUCUUAGAUCAAUCCAUUCUUGAUACUGCUUGUACAAAUUCCAAAUCAUCUAGUCACUUGUGCACAUCAUUAAAGCAAUGUAUUAUUCCUUUGAACAAAUUGCAAUUGCUUUUGUACAUGUUGCAAUUGAUAAUGUACAAGUGUCAGCUUUUUUCCACAUUUUCAAUUGCUCAUGUCAUGUUGAUCAAAAUAUAGUAGAUGGUUCUCUGUUGAAUAGUCUUACCCCUCAAAACAUCUAGGCAUUAGUUCCUUGCAUAAAGCCAUUACAUGCACAGCCAUUACACAAAGCCAUUACGCCUUCCCUGUAGCUCAGUUGGUAGAGCAUGGUGUUUGCAAUGCCAGGGUUGUGGGUUCAAUUCCCACUGGGGGCCAGCACAGGAAAAAAAAAAAUGUAUGAAAUUGUAAUGAAAUGUAUCCAUUCACUACUGUAAGUCGCUCUGGAUAAGAGCGUCUGCUAAAUGACAAAAAUGUAAAUGCAAAAAUUUAAAUGUACAUGCAAAAUUGUUGAACAAUUUGUCCUAAACUGUCAAGCAUAGUUUUACACAUUUGUAUUAGACCUUUUGUACAAAAACGUGAAUUGAUGAAUGGUGCAGGUGAAACUGACCCUCGCUCAUGAAGGAAGGUAAAAGUGUUAGUUCAACCAACCCAGUGGUCUAAAUUACUCAAAUGGCAUCUCACGAAGAAUCAAUUGGUAAUCAGAUAUAGACAGACCACAACACAGAGUUCAACAUGUCCCAAUAAUGGACGGACCGGGAAACGAACAGGGUCAACAGCCGAGAGGAGGAGGAGGAGGAGGAGGAGGAGGAGGAAGAGGAGGAGGAGGAGGAGGAGGAGGAAGAGGAGGAGGAGGAGGAAGAGGAGGAGGAGGAGGAGGAGGAGGAGAGGAGGAGGAGGAAGAGGAGGAGGAGGAGGAGGAGGAGGAGGAGGAAGAGGAGGAGGAGGAGGAGGAGGAGGAGGAGGAGGAAGAGGAUGCGCGGUGGAAGGCAAAACAGAGGAAGAGGCAGAAAGAGGACAUAGGCGCAUAUCUGAUGACAUAAGGGCCACUAUUCGUAGACCAUUGUUGUCAAUCAUGGCCUUUACAAUGGCUGAGGCGGGUCGAAGGGCGCAGCCGAAUAUCGGGAGAUCGACCGUGUCCUCAAUAGAUCAAACGUUUCGAAGAGAGAACAGGUAUGUCCACCAAUGUACACAGUUACUGUAUAUAAGCAGUUUACUGUAUACUUCCUACAAUGCUUCAUAUUACAGUAGUCCACUUGUAUUUCACAGCAUACAGAAAUAUACUCUAUACAGAUACAUACUGCACCUUACAUGCACCUUACACCUGUAUGUUUUACAGUAAAAUGUGUGUUCGCAUAGUUUUUUGUCUAUGUGAAAGUGUGCGAUGCAUCACUGCAUUUCCCCCCCCACAUACGACUGCAAGAUUACCUCAAACCGGUGGCAGAGGACGCCUUUUUCCCACCUCAACAGGAGGAGACUACAUGGUUCCCGAGCAAACAAUGCCAUGAGACUCAGGGAAACACAAAAAGGACCAUUAUAGAAGACGACGAUGUCUUUUGAAAACAUCCCC
rnacentral:tRNA from 1 species